CCACUACUUUCUGCCUCCUCCGAUGUUGGGUUUUCGUCCUCGUGCUCAUGCACUUCUCAUGUGCUAUCUUGUUUCGUUUUUUUUUUUAUUAUCUUUUCCAGGCAAUACCAAGCUCGCACCAGAGGUCUCAAUGCGUACGACCGGCGCUGGAAGUUGGUCGAUGAUUUACGUUACUUUCUAUGGCAAAGAAAGAUCAGCACUAGCAAAUUUGCCAGUUAAAACUGAUCAAGACACUUUACGAGAAGGCUACAGGUAUUUUCAUCUUGUGUCCCUAUACAUUUUUAUAGCAUUUUGUAUAUGCAAUAUUUCUAUUUUGAGCCAGAGGGUACUAGUUAUGUUUAUUUCGUUUUGAAGCGCUAAUUAUAACUUUAUUGAGGACUAUAACUUAAGAGAGAGGGCAUAUGAUCAAAGUGAAAUGCAUCAAUGUUGGCAGGCGUUCCAUCUUUAUAAAAAUUCAUUCAAUACUCAUGGUUCUUAAAUUUCGUUUUCCUCAUCAGUGAAUCAGAGGCUACAUCAAGUGUACCACUGCCGAUGACUUUUACUGUAUAAGUCAACCGUUUCUCUCCUUUCUUUCCUAUUUUUUUGGGGAUUUGAUGGAUACUGAUGUUCACAAGCUUAUGGUGUCAUUUGUGCAAGUCUUGUAUGAUGUUGUUAUGCUACAUAGGUUAGAUUGAAUGAAGCGAUGUUUUGAACUGCUACUCGUUCUUCCAUUUGGUAUCUCUUAACAGUUUGCUAUGAAUCAUGAACUAUUAAUUGGGAGUUUGCUCAGUUUAUAUGGAUGGUCUUUUCAUCUAUCUUUGACAUUUCUUCUCCUGCACUUCAGUGUAUGCAUUUAUCGAUUUCGGCGCUCUUUAUCAAGGUCAUAUUUACUUCAGAUUUAUUUUUAUACUUUAAUUAAUGGAUUGAUUUAGGUUUAUAAGAACAGAGGAAGAAUUGAAGCCGAUUGUUAGCUUGUGUGAGGAGUGAGAGUUUCUUCUUGACAAGAAUCCUGCUAGUUAUAACCAAUCUCUAAAAGUUAAACAUCUAGUAAGAAAUGAACUGCAAAUACUAACCUAACAACACCAUACACAAAAAAUUGGGAGAAACAACUCUUCAAAACCCAAAACCAUUUAUCUGCAUGAGCAGAAUAACAAACCACAAGAUUAAUAAUUAAGGAAACUUGAGAGAUGAAUAGGACCAAAAUAGCUUAUGCUUCGCUCCUCUUUGCUACGUAAAACAACAGCCCAUCAGCCUCCUUUAAGAGACACUUUUUCCCACCCUACCAAGGGUUCCAAGCUUUCAACUCCUAAUUUAUCCACUCCCAAAAAGGGGAGGUGCCACAUGGACAACGUCUUGGCCAAAAACAGCCAAUACUUAAAGAAGUGAAAGGUGCAGCUGAAAUUUGGAUUGGAUCGGGAAGUACGUGCCCUGAAAAGUAUUUGCAUUGGAUUGCUGGGAAGAGAAUACUUACCUAAUUAGAUCAGCAAUAGAUACAAUUUUUCGAGUUCUCCCGCUGUGCACACUCGCGAAGCUUAGGUAAUCUUGCCAUGGAGCCAUCAUCAUCCACUACCAUACAGAGAACUGCCACAGGUUCCAAUCCAGCCAACACAGCAAGGUCGACAGAAGCUUCUGUAUGCCCAGCUCUUUUCAGGACACCACCCUCCCUGUACUUCAAUGGGAAAAUAUGUCCUGGCCUGUUGAAAUGUUCAGGUUUCAAAUCUCUAGAUGCAAGAGCCAAAACUUUCGUUGCCCUGUCAGGCGCUGAUAUGCCUGUAGUUAUCCCAUGCUUUGCAUCCUAUAACAAUAUCUAAUUAAUUAUCAUCAGUUACAAGAUACGAGAAGAGCUGAUUGAAGGAACUAUUUAAGCAUCUUACAACAUAUACCACAGUCACGGUGAAUGCAGUCCGAAGCUUCUCUUGAUUCUCCCCCUGAUUCACCAUCAAAGGAAGUUGCAAGCGGUCCAAAUCCUUCCUCUUUCAUGCUCGCACAAACAAUCCCAGUGCCAUACUUCACCAUAGAUGCCAUAGCCUAAGGUGUUGCCAUUAAAAGAUCAUCCUCAUUCUUCCUGUCUUCAUCGUCUGCCACCAUUACAAUCUGGAAUUCAGUUCCAACCAUGAGAUAGGCAUUAAUGGAUGAACAAUUGAAAUGCACUCGAAAAUGCAAUGCAGAAAGCCUACCAACCUUCCCUUAGCGGAUGUCCUCGAUCGCUUCUGGAAUAGAAGCAAAGGCUGCUCUGGGUGGAUCCAAGUCAAAUUCAUCAUCUUCGAUGAGGAUAACUCUCUGUAGACGAAAAACCAAUUUGGCGAAGAAGGGUGGGCCUGAAGCAGCAAAUUUGUUGAUUUCGAGUUUCGGCAGACUCUACAUGAAACUAGACCACAGUUAGAUGAAUAUAAGACACAUUUUUCCGUUGACAAAUGCCCUAAAUUCUAAGUGUUUACUUUCACAUGCAACCGAGAGGUUUUGCAAUCCUGGUAUGGAGAUCUAGCGAUUGCUCGUGAUACCUUCAUUAUUCAUCGAAAAAUCUGAUAUCUCGUGGAUGCUCAUGUUGUGUUUUCAUGCACGUUGGACGUUGGACCACAGGUGUGAUUUUGAAAUUUCACUUUAUUUAAUUUAUGGGCUCGUAAGAUUACCAAUUCUAAUAGAAGACAUGGUCUCUUUUUUCCCUAUUAAGCAUUUCAGGUGUAUCGAAAGAAGAUAAAUAUUAUUUACAAACCGAGAGGAUGUGGUAGAGACGAUCAGUGUUAGAACCCUCGAAGCGUUACCGUGGGAGUUCAAAAAUUGUGUACGCUAUCGUAGGGUCUAAGAGCAUAGUGUUAAUGGCAUUUUGCCUGCAAAUUGCCAGGUUGGGAUUGAGGACCCAUGCUAGAAAAUAGUAGCAUAAAUGUGCAUUUUGUUUUCCUUUUGUUUCUUUAGUAUUUGCUUGUUUUUAUUAUGUUUCUCAUCGUAGAUUGGUUCACAAAAUAUCUACAUUGACAGAAUAUUACUUGUGAGUUCAUAAAGAGAUACAUUCAGAAGAACUGGCAUAUUGCGACUCUUAGGUAUUUAGACAAAUCGUGGCUGGGGCAGCUCAACACCUAUCAACACAAUUUUUUGCAGCAAACAUCUCUAGCGGUUGGUCAGUGUUCGCAAGAGAAACUUGUCUGCAUGUUUGAACUUUUUGGUAGGGAUGGUGUUGUGUUCAAAGUCUCCAUCUUCAGCAAUGCCGGUAGCGAUAAGAACCUCAUUUAGGUCGAUUGAGAUGAACAUUGGAAGAUUCACUUGAGGCUAUAUAUCAGCAAAGCAAUUCGUGUCUCCUUUAUUCCGCUGUGAUGAGUCAAUUGAAAGUGCACUUACUUUUGGCUUUUCUUCUGAAUUAGUUACAAUCUCAUGAGAAUUAUCCUUAUUUCCCUUUGUGCAGUGAGCCCUUUCGAGCAUCUUUUCCAUGGCAUAUCUCCAUGGUGAUUGUCACCCAUUCCACAUCUGUGCCUCACUGUCCAAACUUUUCCCAAGUUAACUUGCUUUCAGUAGAAAUUACUGGAUAUGUUAUCUUCCUUCAAGUGUUCAUGGCCAUAUGUGUAAAUCAGGACACAAGGUCAUAGGGUUGAAAAAGGCAAUAACCACCAUGAAUUAGGAAUCUAAUGAUUUAUAGUUCAAGUAUAAAUGCCUCCCAAAAGGGACUACUUGAUACUUUCUCUGCACAUAAUGACUACUCUCUCUCUCUCUCUCUCUCUCUAUAUAUAUAUAUAUUUUAUAGGGAUUGUCAUAAAUAGUGUUUAUUCUUUACAAGCAGCUUUGAUUGCUAUCCUAGUGGAAAUAUGGACGGUUACUCAAAUGUAAAUGUUGAUCAAGGUCGCUUUUGGAGAAUUUUUGUCCAGCAAAUAUAAGAAUCUAAUAGACAAUAAAGAGCAAUUCUCUACUAAUAUGAACUAAAGAUACAUGGGAUUGCAUUUUCCCUUAGCUCCCAAGCACUUCGAUCCUUGGACCAUGUUCUCCUUCUAAUCCUUGACUUCUGACUCUUCAGGAUUUCUAUCCUCUCUUAUUCUGAUUUUACUCCGAUGCACUUCAAUUGUUAUGGUGCAUAAGUAUCAUUCAAUGAGAUUAGAUGUUGCCGCAUUUGUGGGUCCAUAUGUAAAGAGUAGUAGCUAUGAAGGUUGUGCCCAGUUUGGUUUUUGUGUCCCCAAUUCAAACCAAACGGAUUACAUCACAUGUAUCUUCAGUGUCUCUUUACUUCGAAUUGCAAAUCGAGAUAUCAACAUGGCAAAGGCAGGUCAUAGAAUCAGAAUCCAAGACCAUUUGUAGGGAGAAGUUCGGCAAUUCACUUAAUGUUGUUGGAUUAGAUUGUAAGAGGUGGAUCAAACAAGGAAACUAUGUUGAUGAGGACUUACUAACACAGCAACAAUGUGUCUAACUCGGUGAUGGUGGACCAGUUGUGAUUGUACGGUUUCACCAUUUUGAUAUAAUGACCAUGUAAGAGUGUUCAAGCUCUAAAGAGUUACAAGAUAUUUUUGUACUUUUCUAUAACUAAUCAGAGUGUGUGAAAAGAAGAUCGAUAACUUCAUAUUUUCACUAGAUUCGUGUGUGUCUCUUAUAUUUGAUUACAUGUACUCUAUUAGACAUAUACAUUCUAUAUGGGCACUAGCACUCCCCCUUUUCUUUAUGUUUGCUUGUAGCUAUUAUGUUUCUCAUCUUAGAUUGGGUCACAAAAUAUCUACAUCGACAGAGUGUUACUUGUGAGUUCAUAAAGAGAUACAUUCAGAAGAACUGGCAUAUCACGACUCUUGAGUAUUUAGACAAAUCGUGGCUGGGGCAGCUCAACACUUAUCAACACAAUUUUUUGCAGCAAGCAUCUCUGGCGGUUGGCCCACGUUCGCGAGAGAAACUUGUCUGCAUCAAGAUGUCUGCGCGUUUGAACUUUUUGGUAGGGGCGAUGUUGUGUUCAUAGUCUCCAUCUUCAGCAAUGCCGGUAGCGAUAAGAACCUCAUUUAGGUCGAUUGAGAUGAACCUUACAAGAGUCGCUUGAGGCUAUAUAUCAGUAAAUUCGUGUCUCCUUUAUCAGCUGCGAUGAGUCAAUUGAAAGUGCACUUACUUUUGGCUUUUCUUCUCUUUUCUGAAUUAGUUACAAUCUCAUCAGAAUUAUCCUUAUUACACAUAUAUUAUAUGAGGACUUGUUUUGUUCUGGAGCUGUCUAUUUGGAUCGAGAUUUGUCUUCUUAUCCUCGGUGAAAGCACCAAAGUUACAUUGGAUGAUGAUAUGCUACUGUGCCCUUGGUAUGCUUACAGGCGGCAAUAUAGGGAAGAGAUAUGCCAGAAUCGAUGAGCUUGGCGUGCCCCUUUCAAUCACUGUCCUUUCAAGUGCUGCUGAUGCUGAUGCCACCAUUCGAGAAAGGGACAGCAGAGAGGGAGUUCAGGUUAAUAUGGGUAUAGUGGCUUCCGUUGUGAAGGCUUUGAUUGACGGGUCGAGGACCUGGUCCGACGUAAGGUCAAGUUUCCCACAUCGUGAAUAGUUUAGUUGCUGAUAUCAUUGUUUACUUAACUUUACAUCAGUUAGGAUCAAACAUUUUGUCACAAUUUUGGGGGACAUCCGAGGUAGCAAACAAAUGGUGUACUUUUGAUACAUCUUUUGCCGGCUAAACAUGCUGUUCAUGUCUUUUUCGUGUGGUAACCCGGAGAUAAAAACAAAUAGGAAGUUGCAGAUC